rnacentral:rRNA from 1 species
UCGGGAAUUUUGGGCAAUGGGCGAAAGCCUGACCCAGCAACGCCGCGUGAAGGAUGAAGUAUUUCGGUAUGUAAACUUCGAAAGAAUAGGAAGAAUAAAUGACGGUACUAUUUAUAAGGUCCGGCUAACUACGUGCCAGCAGCCGCGGUAAUACGUAGGGACCAAGCGUUGUUCGGAUUUACUGGGCGUAAAGGGCGCGUAGGCGGCAAUUCAAGUCAUCUGUGAAAUCUCCGGGCUUAACUCGGAACGGUCAGAUGAUACUGUUUUGCUAGAGUGCAGAAGGGGCAAUCGGAAUUCUUGGUGUAGCGGUGAAAUGCGUAGAUAUCAAGAGGAACACCUGAGGUGAAGACGGGUUGCUGGGCUGACACUGACGCUGAGGCGCGAAAGCCAGGGGAGCAAACGGGAUUAGAUACCCUGGUAGUCCCUGAGCGGGCUGGCAAGGCGCAU